rnacentral:rRNA from 1 species
UACGUAGGGGGCGAGCGUUGUCCGGAAUCAUUGGGCGUAAAGAGCGUGUAGGCGGACUGGAAGGUCUGGUGUGAAAGCCCGGGGCUCAACCCCGGAGGGUCACUGGAAACCGACAGUCUUGAAUCUGGAAGAGGAGAGUGGAAUUCCUGGUGUAGCGGUGGAAUGCGCAGAUAUCGAGAGGAACACCAGUGGCGAAGGCGGGUCCCUGGACAACACCUGACACUGAGGCACGAAAGCUAGGGGAGCAAACAGG